GCAGGCGCAGACUGCCCUCCGACACGUGGUGGCGAUAUUGAGCUGUGUGUAGCUACACCCUGCAGCUUGCGCUUUUAACUGCUUGUGGUUGAGUGGCAGCAUGAGCGAGCUCUGCGUAUUCCACCCCGGCGUUAAGAAUCCUUCACUAGCUUUUCUUCCCGACGCUGCUUAUUUAUCUAUCGGUAGCAUGACGGGUAAUUGACGCCCUCGGAUGGCUUUGAGGUCGCCAUUUUUGGUUGGUGCCUUUGUCAUGGUGUCAGGACCGGGAUAUCAUCUGGGACACAUUACCCCACAGUCAGAUACCUACAGCCACUGAGAGCCGGUAUUCCAACGCCAUGAGACGCCUUAUGUCGUGAGCAGUGGACGACAGAGACGCAGCACUUACUGCAACCGGAAGGAGCCGUUCCUCCCCCGCUGGCGCAGCCGCUCUUCCCCGCCACUCCCUGGGUGCCCGCCAGCACCUUCCCAGCAAGCCCUGCGUAUAUUUGCAUAUCAACUCACGUCCUUUUCUUCUAACUAAAUCGAAAGGACAAAUUCUAGAUUCUCCUUGUAAGUCUUCCUUUCAGUUCAGAAGAAAUGGAAUUCGCUGUUCAACUUCAGGAAAUUGAAGUAAAGAGUUGCUU